rnacentral:lncRNA from 1 species
CGCUUAAAGAAACUUAAAUGAACCUAAAAAUAUAGUAUCUUAAUAUACCGUCGUUAAAAUUAACGAAAAAUGUCAACGAAAGAGUUUAUUUGAGAAAGAACUAAAAUGAAGAGAUUGAUAUUAUCUAAAAUUUUUAUGCAAAAAAAUAUUUGGGACCCUGUGGUUUAAAAUGUAUCAAGUUAGUACUCUGUGGUUUCGCACUUUCUUACUUGCAUACCUUAUGGUUUAAUAUUUCGUUAAAUUAUAUACAAAAAACCUUCAAAUACCAUACCUAGGUUUAUCGUAUAUUCAUUUUUGUACCCUUUAGAAAAAAAAACCCCGAAAUGGAUAAUAAAAAGAAAAAAUAAAACCAUAGGGUCCUAACUUGAUACAAAAAUGAAACCACAGAGUACUAACUCGAUACAUUUUAAACCACAGGGUAUUAAAGUGAGAAGGUGCGAAACCGCAUGGUACUAUCUUGAUACACUUUAAACCGCAGAAUACUAACUCGACACACUUUAAACUAUAGGGUAUUAAAGUGAGAAAGUGCGAAACCACCGGAAGAGUAUUUGAAGUUUUCCUAAAAAUAUAUAAAAAAUUAGUGUGAGAUUUUUCAUUUUUUUUUUUUGUAGGCGUAGAGAGAGAAUUG